rnacentral:misc_RNA from 1 species
UGUUUGGUCUCUUGGAAAGAGUUCGAUCUUUACUUGGGUUUCUUUUAAGAUAACAGUUGUCAUUAGUAUUAAGAUUGGCCCCUUUGCAAUGCUAAAUGAAUUGCCCCAGUUAAAUUUUAGACCCAGAGCUGUUCUGGCUUUAAGUGGCUAAUGAUGGAGUGAUAUCAGUCAGGUUGGAGCAAUUUGUGUUUGAUGUUUUGAGGAUUGUUUAAUAUUUUUGGCAAUUGCAA